GAUGAACGCUGGCGGCGUGCCUAAUACAUGCAAGUCGAGCGAACGGACGAGAAGCUUGCUUUUCUGAUGUUAGCGGCGGACGGGUGAGUAACACGUGGAUAACCUACCUAUAAGACUGGGAUAACUUCGGGAAACCGGAGCUAAUACCGGAUAAUAUUUUGAACCGCAUGGUUCAAAAGUGAAAGACCGUCUUGCUGUCACUUAUAGAUGGAUCCGCGCUGCAUUAGCUAGUUGGUAAGGUAACGGCUUACCAAGGCAACGAUGCAUAGCCGACCUGAGAGGGUGAUCGGCCACACUGGAACUGAGACACGGUCCAGACUCCUACGGGAGGCAGCAGUAGGGAAUCUUCCGCAAUGGGCGAAAGCCUGACGGAGCAACGCCGCGUGAGUGAUGAAGGUCUUCGGAUCGUAAAACUCUGUUAUUAGGGAAGAACAUAUGUGUAAGUAACUGUGCACAUCUUGACGGUACCUAAUCAGAAAGCCACGGCUAACUACGUG
rnacentral:rRNA from 1 species